rnacentral:rRNA from 1 species
AGAGCGAACGCUGGCGGCAGGCCUAACACAUGCAAGUCGAACGGACCCUUCGGGGUUAGUGGCGGACGGGUGAGUAACACGUGGGAACGUGCCUUUUGGUUCGGAAUAGCUCCUGGAAACGGGUGGUAAUGCCGAAUGUGCCCUUCGGGGGAAAGAUUUAUCGCCAUUAGAGCGGCCCGCGUCUGAUUAGCUAGUUGGUGAGGUAAAGGCUCACCAAGGCUACGAUCAGUAGCUGGUCUGAGAGGAUGACCAGCCACAUUGGGACUGAGACACGGCCCAAACUCCUACGGGAGGCAGCAGUGGGGAAUCUUGCGCAAUGGGCGAAAGCCUGACGCAGCCAUGCCGCGUGAAUGAUGAAGGUCUUAGGAUUGUAAAAUUCUUUCACCGGGGACAUAAUGACGGUACCCGGAGAAGAAGCCCCGGCUAACUCGUGCCAGCAGCCGC